rnacentral:rRNA from 1 species
UGGUGGAGUGAUUUGUCUGGUUAAUUCCGAUAACGAACGAGACCUUAACCUGCUAACUAGUCUUACUCAUUACAUGGGUACUGACUUCUUAGAGGGACUAUGUGUUAAAAGCACAUGGAAGUUUGAGGCAAUAACA